rnacentral:rRNA from 1 species
CGAACUCUGGUAUUGAUUGGUGCUUGCAUCAUGAUUUACAUUUGAGUGAGUGGCGAACUGGUGAGUAACACGUGGGAAACCUGCCCAGAAGCGGGGGAUAACACCUGGAAACAGAUGCUAAUACCGCAUAACAACUUGGACCGCAUGGUCCGAGUUUGAAAGAUGGCUUCGGCUAUCACUUUUGGAUGGUCCCGCGGCGUAUUAGCUAGAUGGUGAGGUAACGGCUCACCAUGGCAAUGAUACGUAGCCGACCUGAGAGGGUAAUCGGCCACAUUGGGACUGAGACACGGCCCAAACUCCUACGGGAGGCAGCAGUAGGGAAUCUUCCACAAUGGACGAAAGUCUGAUGGAGCAACGCCGCGUGAGUGAAGAAGGGUUUCGGCUCGUAAAACUCUGUUGUUAAAGAAGAACAUAUCUGAGAGUAACUGUUCAGGUAUUGACGGUAUUUAACCAGAAAGCCACGGCUAACUACGUGCCAGCAGCCGCGGUAAUACGUAGGUGGCAAGCGUUGUCCGGAUUUAUUGGGCGUAAAGCGAGCGCAGGCGGUUUUUUAAGUCUGAUGUGAAAGCCUUCGGCUCAACCGAAGAAGUGCAUCGGAAACUGGGAAAACUUGAGUGCAGAAGAGGACAGUGGAACUCCAUGUGUAGCGGUGAAAUGCGUAGAUAUAUGGAAGAACACCAGUGGCGAAGGCGGCUGUCUGGUCUGUAACUGACGCUGAGGCUCGAAAGUAUGGGUAGCAAACAGGAUUAGAUACCCUGGUAGUCCAUACCGUAAACGAUGAAUGCUAAGUGUUGGAGGGUUUCCGCCCCUUCAGUGCUGCAGCUAACGCAUUAAGCAUUCCGCCUGGGGAGUACGGCCGCAAGGCUGAAACUCAAAGGAAUUGACGGGGGCCCGCACAAGCGGUGGAGCAUGUGGUUUAAUUCGAAGCUACGCGAAGAACCUUACCAGGUCUUGACAUACUAUGCAAAUCUAAGAGAUUAGACGUUCCCUUCGGGGACAUGGAUACAGGUGGUGCAUGGUUGUCGUCAGCUCGUGUCGUGAGAUGUUGGGUUAAGUCCCGCAACGAGCGCAACCCUUAUUAUCAGUUGCCAGCAUUAAGUUGGGCACUCUGGUGAGACUGCCGGUGACAAACCGGAGGAAGGUGGGGAUGACGUCAAAUCAUCAUGCCCCUUAUGACCUGGGCUACACACGUGCUACAAUGGAUGGUACAACGAGUUGCGAACUCGCGAGAGUAAGCUAAUCUCUUAAAGCCAUUCUCAGUUCGGAUUGUAGGCUGCAACUCGCCUACAUGAAGUCGGAAUCGCUAGUAAUCGCGGAUCAGCAUGCCGCGGUGAAUACGUUCCCGGGCCUUGUACACACCGCCCGUCACACCAUGAGAGUUUGUAACACCCAAAGUCGGUGGGGUAACC